UACGUAGGGGGCGAGCGUUAUCCGGAUUCACUGGGUGUAAAGGGAGCGUAGACGGAAAAGCAAGCCAGAUGUGAAAAUCCGGGGCUCAACCCCGGACCUGCAUUUGGAACUGUUUUACUGGAGUACCGGGUGGGCAGGCGGAAUUCCUGGUGUAGCGGUGAAAUGCGUAGAUAUCAGGAGGAACACCGGUGGCGAAGGCGGCCUGCUGGACGGAUACUGACGUUGAGGCUCGAAAGCGUGGGGAGCAAAC
rnacentral:rRNA from 1 species